rnacentral:rRNA from 1 species
AUACGGAGGGUGCAAGCGUUAAUCGGAAUUACUGGGCGUAAAGCGUGCGCAGGCGGUUUUGUAAGACAGAGGUGAAAUCCCCGGGCUCAACCUGGGAACUGCCUUUGUGACUGCAAGGCUAGAGUACGGCAGAGGGGGAUGGAAUUCCGCGUGUAGCAGUGAAAUGCGUAGAUAUGCGGAGGAACACCGAUGGCGAAGGUAAUCCCCUGGGCCUGUACUGACGCUCAUGCACGAAAGCGUGGGGAGCAAACAGGAUUAGAUACCCUGGUAGUCCACGCCCUAAACGAUGUCAACUGGUUGUUGGGUCUUCAUUGACUCAGUAACGAAGCUAACGCGUGAAGUUGACCGCCUGGGGAGUGCGGCCGCAAGGUUGAAACUCAAAGGAAUUGACGGGG